CCUACGGGAGGCAGCAGUGGGGAAUUUUGGACAAUGGGGGCAACCCUGAUCCAGCCAUUCCGCGUGAGUGAAGAAGGCCUUCGGGUUGUAGAGCUCUUUCGCAAGGGAGGAAAACUUAUGAUCGAAUAAAUCAUGAGGUUUGACGGUACCUUGAUAAGAAGCACCGGCUAACUACGUGCCAGCAGCCGCGGUAAUACGUAGGGUGCGAGCGUUAAUCGGAAUUACUGGGCGUAAAGCGUGCGCAGGCGGUUUUGUAAGUCGGAUGUGAAAUCCCCGGGCUCAACCUGGGAACUGCGUUCGAAACUGCAAGGCUAGAGUGUGUCAGAGGGGGGUAGAAUUCCACGUGUAGCAGUGAAAUGCGUAGAGAUGUGGAGGAAUACCAAUGGCGAAGGCAGCCCCCUGGGAUAACACUGACGCUCAUGCACGAAAGCGUGGGGAGCAAACAGGAUUAGAUACCCUGGUAGUCCACGCCCUAAACGAUGUCAACUAGUUGUUGGUAGAGUAAAAUCUAUGAGUAACGUAGCUAACGCGUGAAGUUGACCGCCUGGGGGAGGUACGGUCGCGAGAAGUUAAACUAACGAAAGAAGUAGACGGCGUGAGACGUGACCGACGGACGACGACGAGGGAGGAGG
rnacentral:rRNA from 1 species